CCCGAUCUUAAAAGAGCCGAAUUAGCGAGAGUCUACUGUAAAUGCAAAGACAUUACGUAAAAGUUUACCUUGGUACUCAAGAUACCUAUCUUCAGUUUAAUUUUAUUUAAAGCUAUUUCUCGAAAUCUUUUAACACGAUUAAAAAAAUCUCUGAUUUUGUAAAGGGAGAAUUAAGACGUUAUCAACCAUCUUGGAAUUCGUUUGAUGUAAAUAAAUUAAUUCAUGCGUUUUCAACCCCUUAUCCCUAUUGGAGUCGCGGGCUAAAUGCACCUAGGUUAGCGGCACACCGCACGUCUAUCGAUCAUUUCAUUUAGCCACAUUGUCCUAGGACUGCUCUAAAGCCGAAGUUCCUCAACAAGUAAUAUCUUGCAUAGAUUCUUUGGGGAAUCUUUCUUCAUUUAUAAACUGUGACCACAUCAUCGAAGUUCUGAUGUUUCAACACGAAGCGUAAGCGAAAGCGAUUGCGAAGGAUGUUUUCAUUAAUCAAGAACGUCAAGAACGAAGGCGAUCAGAUAUCAUCUAACCAUAAAUGAUGCCAGCAAGCAAUUGAAUGUACCUACUUAUUUCAGUCUCAUUCAGUAGUUUUCCUCAAAACUAAAGCUUUUGGGCUCCAGGGGAAGUCUGGUUACAAAGCUUAAACUUAAGGGAAUAAACGGAAAGGCACCUCCAAGAGUGGAGCCUGCAGCUUAAUUUGACUCAACAUGGGAAACUUAUCAGGUCUCAACAUAAACAUUUCAAAGGAUUUAUGAUUUAACUCUUUAAGGAUGAGAAGCUUUCCGCUGAGCGAAAUUCAAUGAAAUCAAUUUUCCCUCGAUAUUUUAGCCUAAAUAACAGAUUUAUGGUUAGAAAAAAAAUUUCCUAUCCCUAGAAGUCCUGGAAAACUAUGGGUCAUAUAUGACCCUUUUUAUGACUCUUUUUAUUAUCACAAAUAUAUUCAAGUUAUUCCUCCUACAAAAAUAACAGAGCAAACGAGUAAACUAGUCGUAUGAAAAAUUUUGUGUUUUUUUAACUUUAUGGACGAUUGGGUCAUAUAUGACCCAUGAAAAUUAUAAAGUUUUCCU
rnacentral:ncRNA from 1 species